UACAGAGGCCUCAAGCGUUGUUCGGAAUCACUGGGCGUAAAGGGUGCGUAGGCUGCGCCGUUAGUGUUUUGUUAAAAUACAGAGCUUAACUCUGCAUCAGCAAAGCAUACUGCGGCGCUUGGGAUUAAUUAGAGGGGGUUGGAAUUCACGGUGUAGCAGUGAAAUGCGCAGAGUUCGUGAGGAACACCAAUGGCGAAGGCAGACCCCUGGGAUUAUAUCCGACGCUGAGGCACGAAGGCCGAGGUAGCAAACGGG
rnacentral:rRNA from 1 species